rnacentral:rRNA from 1 species
GACAGAGGUGCCGAGCGUUAGGCGGAAUCACUGGGCUUAAAGCGUGUGUAGGCGGAUUCCUAAGUACCUUGUGAAAUCCCACGGCUUAACCGUGGAACUGCUUGGUAUACUGGGUGUCUUGAGCCAACUAGGGGCGACCGGAACAAACGGUGGAGCGGUGAAAUGCGCAGAUAUCGGGAAGAACACCCGUGGCGAAGGCGGCACUCUGGGACGGUACUGACGCUGAGACGCGAAAGCGUGGGGAGCGAACAGG